rnacentral:rRNA from 1 species
CCUACGGGAGGCAGCAGUCGGGAAUAUUGCGCAAUGGAGGAAACUCUGACGCAGUGACGCCGCGUGCAGGAAGAAGGUUUUCGGAUUGUAAACUGCUUUAGACAGGGAAGAAAAAAGACAGUACCUGUAGAAUAAGCUCCGGCUAACUACGUGCCAGCAGCCGCGGUAAUACGUAGGGAGCAAGCGUUAUCCGGAUUUAUUGGGUGUAAAGGGUGCGUAGACGGAGAAGCAAGUUAGUUGUGAAAUCCCUCGGCUUAACUGAGGAACUGCAACUAAAACUACUUCCCUUGAGUACUGGAGAGGAAAGUGGAAUUCCUAGUGUAGCGGUGAAAUGCGUAGAUAUCACACAGAACACCGAUUGCGAAGGCAUCUCACGAAUCCGCGAUUGACGCUGAUGCACGAAAGCGUGGGUAUCAAACAGGAUUAGAUACCCCUGUAGUC